GAUGGACGCUGGCGGCGUGCCUAAUACAUGCAAGUCGAGCGAACAGACGAGGAGCUUGCUCCUCUGACGUUAGCGGCGGACGGGUGAGUAACACGUGGAUAACCUACCUAUAAGACUGGGAUAACUUCGGGAAACCGGAGCUAAUACCGGAUGAUAUAUUGAACCGCAUGGUUCAAUAGUGAAAGACGGUCUUGCUGUCACUUAUAGAUGGAUCCGCGCUGCAUUAGCUAGUUGGUAAGGUAACGGCUUACCAAGGCAACGAUGCAUAGCCGACCUGAGAGGGUGAUCGGCCACACUGGAACUGAGACACGGUCCAGACUCCUACGGGAGGCAGCAGUAGGGAAUCUUCCGCAAUGGGCGAAAGCCUGACGGAGCAACGCCGCGUGAGUGAUGAAGGUCUUCGGAUCGUAAAACUCUGUUAUUAGGGAAGAACAAAUGUGUAAGUAACUAUGCACAUCUUGACGGUACCUAAUCAGAAAGCCACGGCUAACUACGUG
rnacentral:rRNA from 1 species